GGUGACGAGCGGCGGACGGGUGAGUAAUGUCUGGGAAACUGCCUGAUGGAGGGGGAUAACUACUGGAAACGGUAGCUAAUACCGCAUAACGUCGCAAGACCAAAGAGGGGGACCUUCGGGCCUCUUGCCAUCAGAUGUGCCCAGAUGGGAUUAGCUAGUAGGUGGGGUAAUGGCUCACCUAGGCGACGAUCCCUAGCUGGUCUGAGAGGAUGACCAGCCACACUGGAACUGAGACACGGUCCAGACUCCUACGGGAGGCAGCAGUGGGGAAUAUUGCACAAUGGGCGCAAGCCUGAUGCAGCCAUGCCGCGUGUAUGAAGAAGGCCUUCGGGUUGUAAAGUACUUUCAGCGAGGAGGAAGGCAUUGUGGUUAAUAACCGCAGUGAUUGACGUUACUCGCAGAAGAAGCACCGGCUAACUCCGUGCCAGCAGCCGCGGUAAUACGGAGGGUGCAAGCGUUAAUCGGAAUUACUGGGCGUAAAGCGCACGCAGGCGGUCUGUCAAGUCGGAUGUGAAAUCCCCGGGCUCAACCUGGGAACUGCAUUCGAAACUGGCAGGCUAGAGUCUUGUAGAGGGGGGUAGAAUUCCAGGUGUACGCCUGAAAUGCGUAGAGAUCUGGAGGAAUACCGGUGGCGAAGGCGGCCCCCUGGACAAAGACUGACG
rnacentral:rRNA from 1 species